rnacentral:lncRNA from 1 species
AUGACAUUUUUAUUGCAGGUUUUGACCUUUAGGAGAGAGCCAAUUCUGGAGAACAACCUAACUUCUUUGAUUGAACAUUCACAUAAUGCAUUGGAACAUGAUAGGAGAUUAAGGUUUAAUGAUAGAAUGAAGACCAUAAUAGAACAGUUCCCCUACGUAGCCCAGCAAUUCUUAUGUUGCCUGUAUUUUGACACUGCCACUAUGUCCCCUCCAAAAGGUGAGAACUGA